rnacentral:lncRNA from 1 species
GCUCAUUUGUGAACAGCCAGAAAUAUUUCUUAUCAUUAGGUAGUUCUUCAAAAUUAGUACAAAAAGUGAUAACUUUAUUAGAUAAUAAUUUCCUCUGUUCAUUAUAUAAUGGACAAUUUACUGUAAAAUGGGUCUCAUCUUCAAUAGAAUUUGAUUCAUGUGAUAAGCAGUGAUGACAUAGACGUUGAGUUCUCUCUAUGUAUUUUUUACUAUAUCUAUCUUUCUCAAUUCUAAGAUCAUGAGCACUAGUCUUAUUCUCAUUUUACAUAUAGCUCUUCUUAUACUAAAAUCUUUAACUGAUAAAUAAGACUACUUUACCAA